rnacentral:rRNA from 1 species
CCUACCGUAACUUCUGAAGAAGGUAUGCCUUUUUUGGUCACUGGACUUGCUCCAGGAAGCUGAAGAAGGCCGCAGGUAAUCGGGGGCUGCGACUGUUUACCAAAAACACAGGACUCUGCGAACACGUAAGUGGAUGUAUAGGGUCUGACGCCUGCCCGGUGCUGGAAGGUUAAUUGAUGGGGUCAGCCGCAAGGCGAAGCUCUUGAUCGAAGCCCCAGUAAACGGCGGCCGUAACAAUAACGGUCCUAAGGUAGCGAAAUUCCUUGUCGGGUAAGUUCCGACCUGCACGAAUGGCGUAACGCUGGCCCCACUGUCUCGACCAGAGACUCAGUGAAGUUGAAAUCGCUGUGAAGAUGCGGCGUAGCUGCGGAAAGACGGAAAGACCCCGUGAACCUUUACUACAGCUUUACACUGAACUUUGAAUUUAUUUGUGUAGGAUAGGUGGGAGCCUUUGAAGCAGGGGCGCUAGCUCUUGUGGAGGCAACCUUGAAAUACCACCCUGAUAACUUCGGAGUUCUAACCUAGAUCCGUAAUCCGGAUUGGGAACACUGUAUGGUGGGUAGUUUGACUGGGGCGGUCUCCUCCCAAAGAGUAACGGAGGAGUGCAAAGGUACCCUCAGCGCGGUCGGUCAUCGCGCUUUUGAGUGCAAUGGCAUAAGGGUGCUUGACUGCGAGACGUACAUGUCGAGCAGGAACGAAAGUUGGUCAUAGUGAUCCGGUGGUUCUGUAUGGAAGGGCCAUCGCUCAACGGAUAAAAGGUACUCCGGGGAUAACAGGCUUAUUCCUCCCAAGAGUCCACAUCGACGGAGGAGUUUGGCACCUCGAUGUCGGCUCAUCACAUCCUGGGGCUGUAGCAGGUCCCAAGGGUUCGGCUGUUCGCCGAUUAAAGUGGUACGCGAGCUGGGUUCAAAACGUCGUGAGACAGUUUGGUCCCUAUCUUCCGUAGCCGUUGGAGAUUUGAGGGUGAGUUGCUCCUAGUACGAGAGGACCGGAGUGAAUGUAUCUCUGGUGUUCCGGUUGUCACGCCAGUGGCACUGCCGGGUAGCUAUAUACAGACGGGAUAACCGCUGAAAGCAUCUAAGCGGGAAGCCCCCCCCAAGACGAGAUCUCCCUGAGGACUUGAUCCUCCUAAAGGGCCCAAGAAGACUACUUGGUUGAUAGGCUGGGUGUGUACGCGUAGCAAUACGCUUAGCUAACCAGUACUAAUUGCCCGUGAGGCUUGAUC